AUUGAACGCUGGCGGCAUGCUUUACACAUGCAAGUCGAACGGUAACAGCACUUCGGUGGCUGACGAGUGGCGAACGGGUGAGUAAUACAUCGGAACGUGCCUAGUAGUGGGGGAUAACUACUCGAAAGAGUAGCUAAUACCUCAUGAGAUCUAAGGAUGAAAGCAGGGGACCUUCGGGCCUUGCGCUACUAGAGCGGCUGAUGGCAGAUUAGGUAGUUGGUGGGAUAAAAGCUUACCAAGCCGACGAUCUGUAGCUGGUCUGAGAGGACGACCAGCCACACUGGGACUGAGACACGGCCCAGACUCCUACGGGAGGCAGCAGUGGGGAAUUUUGGACAAUGGGCGCAAGCCUGAUCCAGCAAUGCCGCGUGCAGGAUGAAGGCCUUCGGGUUGUAAACUGCUUUUGUACGGAACGAAAAGCCCUCUUCUAAUACAGGAGGGUCAUGACGGUACCGUAAGAAUAAGCACCGGCUAACUACGUG
rnacentral:rRNA from 1 species